CUGAGCCACCCAGGUGCCUCCCCUUGUUCCUUUUUGAUGAGCUAACUUUAGUUUCUUUACUUUCAAGGAAUGACUCACCAUUAGCGGAGACAGGGUCAGGCCCAUACACUUAUAAAAUCGCAGUAACUCCAAGCAUGACUGACGAAAGAGAUCAUGACCACCUCUUUCCAUCAUGUUCCUGUCCCUCUUCCCUCAGGCUGCUGUUCAAGUGUCCAGAAUAGUUGAUCUCUACCUUCCCUCGUUCUCAGACUCUACGAUUCUCCAGUGACCCACGCCGGGUAACACAUUACACAAACGCACAAAAGUGGGCAUGACCUGACUUGCCAGUCUUCCUGAAACAAAGGACAAAAAUCAUACA